GACAGAGGAUGCAAGCGUUGUCCGGAAUUAUUGGGCGUAAAGAGCUCGUAGGCGGUUUGUCGCGUCGGCUGUGAAAGCCCGGAGCUCAACUCCGGGUCUGCAGUCGAUACGGGCAGACUUGAGUGUUGCAGGGGAGACUGGAAUUCCUGGUGUAGCGGUGAAAUGCGCAGAUAUCAGGAGGAACACCGGUGGCGAAGGCGGGUCUCUGGGCAACAACUGACGCUGAGGAGCGAAAGCGUGGGGAGCGAACAGG
rnacentral:rRNA from 1 species